rnacentral:rRNA from 1 species
CCUUACCAAGGCUUGACAUACACCGGAAACGGCCAGAGAUGGUCGCCCCCUUGUGGUCGGUGUACAGGUGGUGCAUGGUUGUCGUCAGCUCGUGUCGUGAGAUGUUGGGUUAAGUCCCGCAACGAGCGCAACCCUCGUUCUAUGUUGCCAGCGGGUUAUGCCGGGGACUCAUAGGAGACUGCCGGGGUCAACUCGGAGGAAGGUGGGGAUGACGUCAAAUCAUCAUGCCCCUUAUGUCUUGGGCUUCACGCAUGCUACAAUGGCCGGUACAAAGGGCUGCGAUACCGUAAGGUGGAGCGAAUCCCAAAAAGCCGGUCUCAGUUCGGAUUGAGGUCUGCAACUCGACCUCAUGAAGUCGGAGUCGCUAGUAAUCGCAGAUCAG